CCUCCGUUUCAGGCAGGGACCAGGCACACAGUCCUGUUCUCUGUGAUGCAUGGAAGCAGAAGAAAGGGCUCAGGCCCUCUCAACAUCAUGUCUUCAGUGCUGGCAAUUUCUUGUUCUCCAGUCCUGUCCUCAAACUCCAGGUCACGA
ensembl:snoRNA